CAGAAGUUCAAUGUUUGCUCUGAGAAGUUGGAUAAACAAAAUUUAUUAAAUGAUAAAGUUGUAUCCUUGAAAGAUAUGCUGGUUUUAUUGGCAUAAUGGGCAAGCAUUGAAGUGCAACUUGGUGAACUA